rnacentral:misc_RNA from 1 species
GAAAUGCGAUAAGUAGUGUGAAUUGCAGAAUUUAGCGAAUCAUCGAAUCUUUGAACGCACAUUGCGCCCCUUGGUAUUCCAUGGGGCAUGCCUGUUCGAGCGUCAUUUCAACCCUCAAGCACUGCUUGGUGUUGGGCGUUUGUCCCGCCUACGCGCGUGGACUCGCCUCAAAGUCAUUGGCGGCUGUUCCCCUUCUGCUCGUAAGCGCAGCACAGUCGGCGCCCGGAGCUCUGGUGGGAUGGCGUCCAGCAAGCUAUAUUUUCAGGCUUGACCUCGGAUCAGGUAGGGAUACCCGCUGAACUUAAGC